rnacentral:rRNA from 1 species
GUGGCAAGCGUUGUCCGGAUUUACUGGGUGUAAAGGGUGCGCAGGCGGACUGAUAAGUCGGGGGUUAAAUCCAUGUGCUCAACACAUGCACGGCUUCCGAUACUGUCAGUCUUGAGUCUCGAAGAGGAAGAUGGAAUUUCCGGUGUAACGGUGGAAUGUGUAGAUAUCGGAAAGAACACCAGUGGCGAAGGCAGUCUUCUGGUCGAGUACUGACGCUCAGGCACGAAAGC